rnacentral:rRNA from 1 species
UACAGAGGUCCCGAGCGUUGUUCGGAUUCACUGGGCGUAAAGGGUGCGUAGGUGGCUUGAAAAGUUUGAUGUGAAAGCUCAGGGCUUAACCCUGAAAUGGCAUUGAAAACUGUCGGGCUGGAGGUUUGGAGGGGGACUGGAAUUCUUGGUGUAGCAGUGAAAUGCGUAGAUAUCAAGAGGAACACCAGUGGCGAAGGCGAGUCCCUGGACAACACCUGACACUGAGGCACGAAAGCUAGGGGAGCAACAGG